AGGAAAGGAGCUCUGCACCAAAAUGGCUCUAGCAGAGACAUGGACUGAGACCUUGCUACAAUAAGGGCUGACAGGAAAACAAGAUUGUUACCAUCAUGUAUGACAAAUUGUGUUACAUCCCAUGAGACAGCACCACAUAAACUUAUUCACUGCUGAAAUCAAGACACACUAGAAUACACCUGUCUCAUUUUGCUUUGCCAAGUGAUAGAGCAACUUGGGUACUGGAAACUGAAGAUACCACCAUGCAGGUGUGCAGAAGCCCUCUGGCCUGAUGUCUGCACCUGGCCAGCAAAGUUGCCAAGCAAAACUACUCAUCCCACAUGUACUGUAUCUUACUACUUUGUUUUGUUUAAUCUGUCAAUAAAUCAAUGU